rnacentral:rRNA from 1 species
AUUGAACGCUGGCGGCAGGCUUAACACAUGCAAGUCGAGCGAGCGGCGGACGGGUGCGUAAUGUCUGGGAAACUGCCUGAUGGAUGGGGAUAACUACUGGAAACGGUAGCUAAUACCUCAUACCAUCAUAUGUGCCCUGCUGGGAUUAGCUAGUUGGUGGGGUAAUGGCUCACCUAGGCGACGAUCCCUAGCGGGUCUGAGAGGAUGACCAGCCACACGGGAAUGGAGACACGGUCAAGAUGCCUACGGGAGGCAGAAGUGGGGAAUAUUGCAAAAGGGGCGAAAGCCUGAUGAAGACAGGCGGCGUGUGGGAAGAAGGUUUCCGGGUGGUAAAGCACGUUCAGCGAGGAGGCGUUACUCGAAGAAGAAGCAACGGCUAACUCCGUGCCAGCAGCCGCGGUAAUUC